AGAAAUCCAGAAUAAUACUUGAUGGUCUCGCGAGAGUAAAGAUUUAUCGCUUUGGGAACGGCCUGCUUUCUAUCAGCUUGUUGGUAAGGUAACGGCUUACCAAGGCUACGACGGAUAGGGGAGGUGAGAGCCUGACCCCCACCGAUGGAACUGCGACACGGUCCAUACUCCUACGGGAGGCUGCAGUCGAGAAUCUUCCGCAAUGGACGAAAGUCUGACGGAGCGACGCCGCGUGGUAGAUGAAGUCCUUAGGGACGUAAAUACCUUUUAUGAGGGAUGAAGUUUAUUGACAGUACCUCAUGAAUAAGGGGCUCCCAAUUCUGUGCCAGCAGGAGCGGUAAUACAGAAGCCUCAAGCGUUACCCGGAUUUACUGGGCGUAAAGGGUGUGUAGGUGGUUUUGUUAGUCUUGCGUUAAAUCUUCGAGCUCAACUUGGAGACCGCGUGAGAAACGGCAUAACUGGAGGAAGUGAGAGGUCUAGGGAACUCAUGGUGUAGGGGUGAAAUCCGUUGAUAUCAUGGGGAACACCAAAUGCGAAGGCACUAGACUGGCACUUUUCUGACACUGAGACACGAAAGCGUGGGUAGCGAAUCGGAUUAGAUACCCGAGUAGUCCACGCCCUAAACGCUGUCCGCUAGCUAUAGGGAGUAUCGACCCUCUCUGUGGCGUAGCUAACGCAUUAAGCGGACCGCCUGGGUAGUACGAUCGCAAGAUUAAAACUCAAAGGAAUUGACGG
rnacentral:rRNA from 1 species